rnacentral:rRNA from 1 species
GACGAACGCUGGCGGCGUGCUCAACACAUGCAAGUCGAACGAAGAGCGAUGGAAGCUUGCUUCUAUCAAUCUUAGUGGCGAACGGGUGAGUAACGCGUAAUCAACCUGCCCUUCAGAGGGGGACAACAGUUGGAAACGACUGCUAAUACCGCAUACGAUCUAAUCUCGGCAUCGAGGAUAGAUGAAAGGUGGCCUCUACAUGUAAGCUAUCACUGAAGGAGGGGAUUGCGUCUGAUUAGCUAGUUGGAGGGGUAACGGCCCACCAAGGCGAUGAUCAGUAGCCGGUCUGAGAGGAUGAACGGCCACAUUGGGACUGAGACACGGCCCAGACUCCUACGGGAGGCAGCAGUGGGGAAUCUUCCGCAAUGGACGAAAGUCUGACGGAGCAACGCCGCGUGAGUGAUGACGGCCUUCGGGUUGUAAAGCUCUGUUAAUCGGGACGAAAGGCCUUCUUGCGGAUAGUGGGAAGGAUUGACGGUACCGGAAUAGAAAGCCACGGCUAACUACGUG